GGGGAUGUAGCUUAGUGUUUGGAAUACUUGCCUAACACGCAUGAAGACCUGGGUUCAAUCCCCAGAACCACCA
rnacentral:tRNA from 1 species